rnacentral:lncRNA from 10 species
CUCCUGGGGGGCAAGCACCACCUCUCCUGGGGGGCAAGUACCCCCCAACCCCUUCUCUCCAUGUCUCCACCCUCUCUUCUCUGGGCUUGCCUCCUUCACUAUGGGCCACCUUCCACCCUCCAUUCCUCCCUUUUCUCCCUUAGCCUGUGUUCUCAAGAACUUAAAACCUCUUCAACUCACGUCUGACCUAAAACCUAAAUGCCUUACUUUCUUCUGCAAUACCGCUUGACCCCAAUACAAACUCAACAAUGGUUCCAAAUAGCCUGAAAACGGCACUUUCAAUUUCUCCAUCCCACAAGAUCUAAAUAAUUCUUGUCGUAAAAUGGACAAAUGGUCUGAGGUGCCUGACAUCUGGGCAUUCUUUUACACGUCGGUCCCUCCCUAGUCUCUGUUCCCAAUGCAACUCAUCCCAAAUCCUCCUUCUUUCCCUCCUGCCUGUCCCCUCAGUCCCAACCCCAAGUGUCGCUGAGUCUUUCCAAUCUUCCUUUUCUACUGACCCAUCUGACCUCUCCCCUCUUCCCCAGACUGCUCCUCCUCAGGUCGCUCCCCGCCAGGCUGAAUCAGGCUCCAAUUCUUCCUCAGCGUCCGCUCCUCCACCCUAUAAUCCUUCUAUCACCUCCCCUCCUCACACCUGGUCCAGCUUACAGUUUCAUUCUGUGACUAGCCCUCCCCCACCUGCCCAACAAUUUCCUCUUAAAGAGGUGGCUGGAGCUAAAGGCAUAGUCAAGGUUAAUGCUCCUUUUUCUUUAUCCAACCUCUCCCAUCUCAGUUAGUAUUUAGGCUUUUUUUCAUCAAAUAUGAAUACCUAGCCCACUCCAUGGCUCAUUUGGCAGCAACUCCUAGACAUUUUACAGCCUUGGACCCAGAGGGGCCAGAAGGUCAUCUUAUUCUCAAUAUGCAUUUUAUUACCCAAUCCACUCCCAACAUUAGAAAAAGCUCCAAAAGUUAGACUCCGGCCCUCAAACCCCACAACAGGACUUAAUUAACCUUGCCUUCAAAGCGUACAAUAAUAGAGUAGAGGCAGCCAAGUAGCAACAUAUUUCUGAGUUGCAAUUCCUUGCCUCCACUGUGAGAGAAACCCCAGCCACAUCUCCAGUACACAAGAACUUCAAAAUGCCUAAGCCACAGUGGUCAAGCAUUCCUACAGGACCUCCUCCAUCAGGAUCUUGCUUCAAGUGCCAGAAAUCUGGCCACUGGGCCAAGGAAUGCCCUCAGCCUGGGAUUCCUCCUAAGCCAUGUUCCAUCUGUGUGGGACCCCACUGGAAAUCGGACUGUCCAACUUGCCCAGCACCCACUCCCAGAGCCCCUGGAACUCUGGCCCAAGGCUCUCUGACUGACUCCUUCCCAGAUCUUCUUGGCUUAGUGGCUGAAGACUGAUGCUGCCUGAUCGCCUCAGAAGCCUCCUGGACCAUCACAGAUGCUUUUGGUAACUCUUACAGUGGAGGGUAAGUCCGUCCCCUUCUUAAUCAAUGCAGAGGCUACCCACUCCACAUUACCUUCUCUUCAAGGUCCUGUUUCCCUUGUCUUCAUAAAUGUUGUGGGUAUUGAUGGCCAGGCUUCUAAACCCCUUAAAACUCCCCAACUCUGGUGCCGAUUUAAACAACAUUCUUUUAUACACUUCUUUUUAGUUAUCCCCACCUGCCCAGUUCCCUUAUUAGGCUGAGACAUUUUAACCAAAUUAUUUGCUUCCCUGACUAUUCCUGGACUACAGCCACAUCUCAUUGCUGCCCUUCUUCCCAACCCAAAAGUGGCAACUCCUUUGCCACUUCCUCUCAUAUCCCCCUACCUUAACCCACAGGUAUGGGACACCUCUACUCCCUCCCUGGCAACAAAUCACACCCUCAUUACUAUCCCAUUAAAACCUAAUCACCCUUACCUGGGUCAACGCCAGUAUCCCAUCCCACAACAGGCUUUAAAGGGAUUAAAGCCUGUUAUCACUUGCCUGUUACAACAUGUCCUUUUAAAGCCUGUAAACUCUCCUUACAAUUCCCCCAUUUUACCUGUCCAAAAACUGGACAUGCCUUACAGGUUAGUUCAGGAUCUGUGCCUUAUCAACCAAAUUGUCUUGCCUAUCCACGCCAUGGUGCCAAACCCAUAUACUCUCCUAUCCUCAAUACCUCCCUCCAAAACCCCUCCAUAACCCUUAUUCUGUUCUGGAUCUCAAAACAUGCUUUCUUUACUAUUCAUUUGCACCCUUCAUCCCAGCCUCUCUUCACUUUCACUUGGACUGACCCUGACACCCAUCAGCCUCAGCAACUUACCUGGGCUGUACUGCCGCAAGGCUUCAUGGACAGCCCCCAUUACCUCAGUCAACCCAAAUUUCUUCUUCAUCCAUUACCUAUCCAGGCAUAGUUCUUCAUGAAAACACACGUGCUCUCCCUGCUGAUCAUGUCCAGCUAAUCUCCCCAACCCCAGGACUGGCAAAUUGACUUUACUCACAUGCCCCAAAUCAGGACACUAAAGUACCUCUUGGUCUGGGUAGACACUUUCACUGGAUAGGUAGAUGCCUUUCCCACAGGGCCUAAGAAGGCCACCGUGGUCAUUUCUUCCCUUCUGUCAGACAUAAUUCCUUGGUUUGGCCUUCCCACCUCUAUACAGUCUGAUAAUGGACAAGCCUUUACUAGUCAAAGCACGCAAGCAGUUUCUCAGGCUCUUGGUAUUCAGUGAAACCUUCAUACCCCUUACCGUCCUCAAUCCUUAGGAAAGGUAGAACUGAUUAAUGGUCUUUUAAAAACACACCUCACCAAGCUCAGCCUCCAACUUAAAAAGGACUGGACAGUACUUUUACCACUUGCCAUUCUCAGAAUUCGGGCCUGUCCUCGAAAUGCUACAAGGUACAGCCCAUUUAAGAUUCUGUAUGGACGCUCCUUUUUAUUAGGCCCCAGUCUCAUUCCAGACACCAGCCCAACUUGAACUGUGCCCCAAAAACUUGUCAUCCCUACAAUCUUCUGUCUAGUCAUACUCCUAUUCACCAUUCUCAACUACUUGUAAAUGCCCUGCCCUUUUUUACAGUGCUGAUUUAUACUUUUCCUCCAAACCAUCAUAACUGAUAUCUCCUGGUUUUACCUCAAACCGCCACCCUUAAGUCUCUCUUAAAGUGGAUAGAAGAUCUUCAGUGACAAGGUACACUCCAAUACUUUCACCCUAAUAAAGCCCUAUUCUUUACUUUUAUAUUCACUCUUAUUCUUGUUCCCAUUCUUAUGCCACUCUCUACCUCUCCCCAGCUAUCUCCACCACACUAUCAAUCUCACUCACUCUCUCCUAGCCAUUUCUAAUCCUUCUUUAACAAACAAUUGCUGGCUUUACAAUUUCUCUUUCCUCCAAAAUCACCGAGUCCUCAAUUUACUCACUGCUAAAAAAGGGGACUCUGCAUAUUUUUAAAUGAAGAGUGUUGUUUUUACCUAAAUCAAUCUGGCCUGGUAUAUGACAACAUAAAAAAAACUCAAGGAUAGAGCCAAAAACCUUGCCAACCAAGCAAGUAAUUAUGCUGAACCCCCUUGGGCACUCUAAUUAGAUGUCCUGGGUUCUCCCGAUUCUUAAUCCUUUAAUACCUGUUUUUCUCCUUCUCUUAUGCAGACCUUGUGUCUUCCAUUUAGUUUCUCAAUUCAUACAAAACCGUAUCCAGGCCAUCACCAAUCAUUCUAUACGACAAAUGUUUUAAGGGAGGAGACCACCCCUCAUAUUGUCUUAUGCCCAAUUUCUGCCUCCAAAGAAAGAAGUAAAAAUGAAAAGGCAGAAAUGAAAUCCACAGGCAGACAGCCUGAUGCCACACCCUGGGCCUGGUGGUUAAGAUCAACCCCUGACCUAAUCAGUUAUGUUAUCUAUAGAUUACAGACAUUGUAUGGAAAAGCACUGUGAAAAUCCCUGUCUUGUUCUGUUCCUCUAAUUACCAGUACACGCAGCCCCUAGUCAUGUACCCCCUGCUUGCUCCCCCUGCUUGCUCAAUCAGUCAUGACCCUCUCACGCAGACCCCCUUAGAGUUGUAAGCCCUUAAGAGGAAAAGGAAUUGUUCACUCGGAGAGCUCGGUUUUUGAGACAUGAGUCUUGCCAAUGCUCCCAGCUGAAUAAAGCCCUUCCUUCUUUAACUCAGUGUCUGAGGGGUUUUGUCUGUGUCUUGUCCUGCUACAGUUUCAUCUAACAACCCCAUAAUAUCACCCCUUACCACAAAAUCUUCCUUCAGCUUAAUCUCUCCCACUCUAGGUUCUCACGCCACCCCUAAUCCUGCUCGAAGCAGCCCUGAGAAACAUCGCCCGUUAUCUCUCCACACCACCCCCAAAAAUUUUCACUGCCCCAACACUUUACCACUAUUUCGUUUUAUUUUUCUUAUUAAUAUAAGAAGAUAGAAAUGUCAGGCCUCUGAGCCCAAGCCUGCACGUAUACAUCCACAUGGCCUGAAGCAAGUGAAGAAUCACAAAAGAAGUGAAAAUGGCUGGUUCCUGCCUUAACUGAUGAUAUUCCACCAUUGUGAUUUGUUCCUGCGCCACCUUGACUGAGGGAUUAACCUUGUGAAAUUCCUUCCCCUGGCUCAGAAGCUCCCCCACUGAGCACCUUGUGACCCCCACCCCUACCCACAAGUGAAAAACCCCCUUUGACUGUAAUUUUCCACUACCCACCCAAAUCCUAUAAAACAGCCCCACCCCAUCUCCCUUUGCUGACUCUAUUUUUGGACUCAGCCCACCUGCACCCAGGUGAUUCAAAAGCUUCAUUGCUCACACAAAGCCUGUUUGGUGGUCUCUUCACACCGACACGCGUGAUAAUUAUUAUAUUACUUUUAACUAAAACCCUUUCAGAGUCUCGCAGGGAAGGCUGUAUAUAUCUCAUAAAAUGUUGGGGCCCACUGGAUCAGACAAGGCCACAAAGGCCAAA